AGCAAAAUGAUGAGGUGAUGUAUCGGAAAUAACUGUGGGACCAUCUAUAUGUCAAAUGGUCUUCCAAGUUCUUUGGUUGCA